rnacentral:lncRNA from 1 species
AAAGUACUAGCCAACAAGGACAACUUCUGGCUCCUUCCUUUGGAUCUUAACGGUUCUUCACGCCUGAAUUAAACACAACAAUUUAGUUCGGCAAACAUCUUUUAGGCGGCUGCAGUAUUAGCUGUCUGGGGUACAAGAGUGACGCCCUUCCCUUGCUCUCGAGAUCGCGGUGGAGAUAAAGGGAGAAUUAAAAAACGGAACGUGCAGGAUAAGUUGGAAGCCCUCGGUCAUUUUUAAGCCCGACCAGAGGGGACGGCGACAGCGCAGGACAGCUGCCUUGCUGGAUUCCCCGAACCAACCGUGUGUGCAGCUGCCGGCCAGCCGAGCUGCUCUUGCCAGCAGGGCUAUAAAUAAGGCCCAUCCAGAGCACAGGAGAUAAGAACCCAGUCCCUGGCUCCCGCGAGCCUUUUAAGGUAUCCAAAUUAAAGGCGCCUCAGCCCCCAGAUGGGAAGGGGCUGCCAGCUCUCCAUCUGGCCUGCCCGCCUCAAGGACAUCCCAGGGCUCGCACAGAUUCCAGCCGUCCAAGAGCAGAGGAAGGGGGAAGCCACAGCGCCAGGAAGGGAUCUCUCGGUGUCAGACAAGCGGCAGAGCUCUGGCGGGCUGCUGGCAGCUCCACUGCUGUGAGCCCCUAGAUUAGGUGGCUGGCCCUGAGGCAUGGAACAGGAGGAAACUUCCCCCAGGCCACACCGUGCACUGGUGUGUGGCCUGGUGGCAUCGUAUGGAUUUUCAGCACUGCCUCUUGGGAAUUGCAUGCUGACCUUCUCCCCUGGCUUCGGGGGCAUUUACUUGGAUGAAAAAGAUCCUAGGGAAGACCAAGGGAUCAGCUUCGUAAACACUGGGCGUAUGGGAAGUUACAAGUGGAAUAAUUCACAGGAAGUCCUCUUUACCUCACUCUCCCUGCUCAUGCACGAUUAUGAGGGUUUCUCAAGCCACAAAUUAUUUUUUCUAUAGAAUUAAAACAGAGAAAUCUUACAAGAGCCUUUUUAAACCAUACGCUGGAAGAGGAG